rnacentral:rRNA from 1 species
UACAGAGGGGGCAAGCGUUAUUCGGAAUUAUUGGGCGUAAAGGGCGCGUAGGCGGCUUUUCAAGUGACGGGUGAAAGCCCUCGGCUUAACCGAGGAACUGCCUGUCAGACUGGAAGGCUUGAGACCGGGAGAGGUGAGUGGAAUUCCCAGUGUAGCGGUGAAAUGCGUAGAUAUCUGGAGGAAUACCGGUGGCGAAGGCGGCAUCCUGGACCGAAACUGACGCUGAGGCGCGAAAGCUAGGGGAGCAAACGGG